rnacentral:rRNA from 1 species
AGAGUUUGAUCCUGGCUCAGAGUGAACGCUGGCGGUAGGCCUAACACAUGCAAGUCGAACGGCAGCACAGUAGGAGCUUGCUCUUACGGGUGGCGAGUGGCGGACGGGUGAGGAAUACAUCGGAAUCUACCUUUUGGUGGGGGAUAACGUAGGGAAACUUACGCUAAUACCGCAUACGCCCUUCGGGGGAAAGCCGGGGACCAGCAAUGGCCUGGCGCUGAUAGAUGAGCCGAUGUCGGAUUAGCUAGUUGGUGAGGUAAUGGCUCACCAAGGCGACGAUCCGUAGCUGGUCUGAGAGGAUGAUCAGCCACACUGGAACUGAGACACGGUCCAGACUCCUACGGGAGGCAGCAGUGGGGAAUAUUGGACAAUGGGCGCAAGCCUGAUCCAGCCAUACCGCGUGGGUGAAGAAGGCCUUCGGGUUGUAAAGCCCUUUUGUUGGGAAAGAAAAGCAUUCGGUUAAUACCCGGGUGUUCUGACGGUACCCAAAGAAUAAGCACCGGCUAACUUCGUGCCAGCAGCCGCGGUAAUACGAAGGGUGCAAGCGUUACUCGGAAUUACUGGGCGUAAAGCGUGCGUAGGCGGCGUGUCACGCCGGGUGUGAAAGCCCCGGGCUCAACCUGGGAACGGCAUCCGGAACGGGCAGGCUAGAGUGCAGGAGAGGAAGGUAGAAUUCCCGGUGUAGCGGUGAAAUGCGUAGAGAUCGGGAAGGAAUACCAGUGGUGAAGGCGGCCUUCUGGACUGACACUGACGCUGAGGUGCGAAAGCGUGGGUAGCAAACAGGAUUAGAUACCCUGGUAGUCCACGCCGUAAACGAUGUCGACUAGCCGUUGGGUCCCUUGAGGACUUAGUGGCGCAGUUAACGCGAUAAGUCGACCGCCUGGGGAGUACGGCCGCAAGGUUAAAACUCAAAUGAAUUGACGGGGGCCCGCACAAGCGGUGGAGCAUGUGGUUUAAUUCGAUGCAACGCGAAGAACCUUACCUACCCUUGACAUCCUGCGAACCCGGAAGAGAUUCCGGGGUGCCUUCGGGAGCGCAGAGACAGGUGCUGCAUGGCUGUCGUCAGCUCGUGUUGUGAAAUGUUGGGUUAAGUCCCGUAACGAGCGCAACCCUUGUCCCUAUUUGCCAGCGAUUCGGUCGGGAACUCUAGGGAGACUGCCGGUGACAAACCGGAGGAAGGUGGGGACGACGUCAAGUCAUCAUGGCCCUUACGGGUAGGGCUACACACGUGCUACAAUGGCCGGUACAAAGGGUUGCGAAGCCGCGAGGUGAAGCCAAUCCCAGAAAGCCGGCCUCAGUCCGGAUUGGAGUCUGCAACUCGACUCCAUGAAGUCGGAAUCGCUAGUAAUCGUGCAUCAGAAUGGCACGGUGAAUACGUUCCCGGGCCUUGUACACACCGCCCGUCACACCAUGGGAGUGG